UGAUUUCAUUCUGGCCACAAUAAUUUUUUUACACGAUCACACCUGUGUUAUUUGUACGUACAGUUUAUUCAAAAUCACAUAAUUUGACGCCACUGGCUGUCACUGUAUACAGGCAUUACUAGUCGAUUAGCUACAUUACUAGUCGAUCGCAGAGCGAAUCACUUUCAUAUUAAAGCGCUUGUCAUCUUGUUACGGAAAGGCGUUCACACGGAAGAUCACGGGAUAAUUUUGACACCGUAGCAUUUACCAAUCAACAAGGGUAGUGCUAGCCACGAAGUUCAACAAUGGUUUUUGAAUCUAUGGUCAGUGAUCUCCUGAAUAGGUUCAUCGGAGACUAUGUGGAAAACCUCGACAAGUCCCAGUUGAAGAUUGGCAUUUGGGGAGGCAAUGUUGUUCUGGAAAACUUGAAAGUUAAAGAAAAUGCUUUGAGUGAGCUGGAUGUUCCGUUUAAAGUGAAAGCUGGUCAGAUUGGUGAGUACCGGCGGC